GUUCACUUAAAAUUCAAUAGAGAGACAUGUAGAAAUACAUACUAGAUAAUGAAAGGAUCCAAACAGUGAAGAAGCAGUCCCUUUAUAUUUUUGAAUCUUUUUUUCAAGAGUAAAGUGUGUUAUGAUAGUCAUCUCGAUUUGUUUGAAAGGAUGUUUACAAAUGCUAUUAAAAUUAUAAAUCCUACAUUUUACUUGUGAAUUUUUUGGUCUACCUCUCUAGUUGUAAAAUAUAAAAAUUAUCCUAAAAGAUCAUAUUGAUUAACUUCUUGGUGGAAUCACUUAUCUUGUUUUGAUGAUAGGAGCAGUAUAGCAUCAAGUUCUAGAGGAAUUGGGAGCCAUUGCAAAUCUGAGGGUCAGGAGGAAUCUUUGGUCCCACAGAGCUCAGUGCAACCACCAGAAGGAGACAGUGAAACAAAAGCUCCUGAAGAAUCAUCAGAGGAUGUGACAAAAUAUCAGGAAGAAGUAUCUGCAGAAAACCCAGUUGAGAACCAUAUCAAUAUAACACAAUCAGAUAAGUUCACAGCCAAGCCAUUGGAUUCCAACUCAGGAGAAAGAAAUGACCUCAAUCUUGAUCGCUCUUGUGGGGUUCCAGAAGAAUCUGCUUCAUCUGAAAAAGCCAAGGAACCAGAAACUUCAGAUCAGACUAGCACUGAGAGUGCUACCAAUGAAAAUAACACCAAUCCUGAGCCUCAGUUCCAAACAGAAGCCACUGGGCCUUCAGCUCAUGAAGAAACAUCCACCAGGGACUCUGCUCUUCAGGACACAGAUGACAGUGAUGAUGACCCAGUCCUGAUCCCAGGUGCAAGGUAUCGAGCAGGACCUGGUGAUAGACGCUCUGCUGUUGCCCGUAUUCAGGAGUUCUUCAGACGGCGAAAAGAAAGGAAAGAAAUGGAAGAAUUGGAUACUUUGAACAUUAGAAGGCCACUAGUAAAAAUGGUUUAUAAAGGCCAUCGCAACUCCAGGACAAUGAUAAAAGAAGCCAAUUUCUGGGGUGCUAACUUUGUAAUGAGUGGUUCUGACUGUGGCCACAUUUUCAUCUGGGAUCGGCACACUGCUGAGCAUUUGAUGCUUCUGGAAGCUGAUAAUCAUGUGGUAAACUGCCUGCAGCCACAUCCGUUUGACCCAACCUCAUCUGGCAUAGAUUAUGACAUAAAGAUCUGGUCACCAUUAGAAGAGUCAAGGAUUUUUAACCGAAAACUUGCUGAUGAAGUUAUAACUCGAAAUGAACUCAUGCUGGAAGAAACUAGAAACACCAUUACAGUUCCAGCCUCUUUCAUGUUGAGGAUGUUGGCUUCACUUAAUCAUAUCCGAGCUGACCGGUUGGAGGGUGACAGAUCAGAAGGCUCUGGUCAAGAGAAUGAAAAUGAGGAUGAGGAAUAAUAAACUCUUUUUUGGCAAGCACUUAAAUGUUCUGAAAUUUGUAUAAGACAUUUAUUAUAUUUUUUUCUUUACAGAGCUUUAGUGCAAUUUUAAGGUUAUGGUUUUUGGAGUUUUUCCCUUUUUUUGGGAUAACCUAACAUUGGUUUGGAAUGAUUGUGUGCAUGAAUUUGGGAGAUUGUAUAAAACAAAACUAGCAGAAUGUUUUUAAAACUUUUUGCCGUGUAUGAGGAGUGCUAGAAAAUGCAAAGUGCAAUAUUUUCCCUAACCUUCAAAUGUGGGAGCUUGGAUCAAUGUUGAAGAAUAAUUUUCAUCAUAGUGAAAAUGUUGGUUCAAAUAAAUUUCUACACUUGCC
rnacentral:sRNA from 1 species